CAGCAGCCCGACCUGAGUGGAGCUCUUUUUCUUUUUUUCAAAAAGAAAAAAGCGGGAACGGAGGGCGGAUAAGCU
rnacentral:misc_RNA from 1 species